rnacentral:rRNA from 1 species
AUUGAACGCUGGCGGCAUGCCUUACACAUGCAAGUCGAACGGUAACGCGGGGCAACCUGGCGACGAGUGGCGAACGGGUGAGUAAUGCAUCGGAACGUGCCCAGUAGUGGGGGAUAGCCCGGCGAAAGCCGGAUUAAUACCGCAUACGACCUACGGGUGAAAGCGGGGGAUCGCAAGACCUCGCGCUAUUGGAGCGGCCGAUGUCAGAUUAGGUUGUUGGUGGGGUAAAGGCCUACCAAGCCUGCGAUCUGUAGCUGGUCUGAGAGGACGACCAGCCACACUGGGACUGAGACACGGCCCAGACUCCUACGGGAGGCAGCAGUGGGGAAUUUUGGACAAUGGGCGCAAGCCUGAUCCAGCCAUGCCGCGUGCGGGAAGAAGGCCUUCGGGUUGUAAACCGCUUUUGUCAGGGAAGAAACGCUCUGGGCUAAUACCCCGGGGUAAUGACGGUACCUGAAGAAUAAGCACCGGCUAACUACGUGCCAGCAGCCGCCGUAAGAC